rnacentral:rRNA from 1 species
AAGUAACGCUAGCUAUAUGCUUAACACAUGCAAGUCGAACGUUGUUUUCGGGCGCGCUUGUCUCGCCUUGAGAACAAAGUGGCGAACGGGUGCGUAACGCGUGGUAAUCUGCCCCGGACUCUGGGAUAAGCGUUGGAAACGACGUCUAAUACCGGAUAUGAAGCGUGGAGGCAUCUUCUGCGUUUGGAAAGAUUUUUUGGUUUGGGAUGAGCUCGCGGCCUAUCAGCUUGUUGGUGAGGUAAUGGCUUACCAAGGCGACGACGGGUAGCCGGCCUGAGAGGGUGACCGGCCACACUGGGACUGAGACACGGCCCAGACUCCUACGGGAGGCAGCAGUGGGGAAUAUUGCACAAUGGGCGCAAGCCUGAUGCAGCAACGCCGCGUGAGGGAUGACGGCCUUCGGGUUGUAAACCUCUUUUAGUAGGGAAGAAGCGUAAGUGACGGUACCUGCAGAAAAAGCACCGGCUAACUACGUGCCAGCAGCCGCCGUAAAAC